GGGGGCGCAUGACCGUAAACAUUAUCCCCCGG
rnacentral:scRNA from 1 species